rnacentral:lncRNA from 1 species
AUAACACUAAUAUUCUACUUAGAGAAUCAGAUCCCUAACAAUUCAUAGGUAACUUUGUAAAUUUAACCCAAAGAGGAAUUUCAGUGGGAAAUUCCUCAUUAAAGUCAAAAUCUAAGGUCCAAGGCUUCAAGAUCAUAGGCCUAUUAUUAAUGGAAUGAGGUCUACAGUAACAGAUCUCUUGCAUGUCAGCCUCCAUUUGGAAUCUAAUAUGUAUACAAUUAGAGCAUAUUUCCACUUCUCUAUCUCAGAUUGAACCUCGUCUUUAUCUAAUUGCACAACUAUUUGACCAUCUAUGAUUUGUGGAUGAAUAUAAGAUAGAGG